GCUUAGAAGCAGCCAUCAUUUAAAGAAAGCGUAAUAGCUCACUGGUCGAGUCGGCCUGCGCGGAAGAUGUAACGGGGCUAAACCAUGCACCGAAGCUGCGGCAGCGACGCUUAUGCGUUGUUGGGUAGGGGAGCGUUCUGUAAGCCUGUGAAGGUGUACUGUGAGGUAUGCUGGAGGUAUCAGAAGUGCGAAUGCUGACAUAAGUAACGAUAAAGCGGGUGAAAAGCCCGCUCGCCGGAAGACCAAGGGUUCCUGUCCAACGUUAAUCGGGGCAGGGUGAGUCGACCCCUAAGGCGAGGCCGAAAGGCGUAGUCGAUGGGAAACAGGUUAAUAUUCCUGUACUUGGUGUUACUGCGAAGGGGGGACGGAGAAGGCUAUGUUGGCCGGGCGACGGUUGUCCCGGUUUAAGCGUGUAGGCUGGUUUUCCAGGCAAAUCCGGAAAAUCAAGGCUGAGGCGUGAUGACGAGGCACUACGGUGCUGAAGCAACAAAUGCCCUGCUUCCAGGAAAAGCCUCUAAGCAUCAGGUAACAUCAAAUCGUACCCCAAACCGACACAGGUGGUCAGGUAGAGAAUACCAAGGCGCUUGAGAGAACUCGGGUGAAGGAACUAGGCAAAAUGGUGCCGUAACUUCGGGAGAAGGCACGCUGAUAUGUAGGUGAAGUCCCUCGCGGAUGGAGCUGAAAUCAGUCGAAGAUACCAGCUGGCUGCAACUGUUUAUUAAAAACACAGCACUGUGCAAACACGAAAGUGGACGUAUACGGUGUGACGCCUGCCCGGUGCCGGAAGGUUAAUUGAUGGGGUUAGCGCAAGCGAAGCUCUUGAUCGAAGCCCCGGUAAACGGCGGCCGUAACUAUAACGGUCCUAAGGUAGCGAAAUUCCUUGUCGGGUAAGUUCCGACCUGCACGAAUGGCGUAAUGAUGGCCAGGCUGUCUCCACCCGAGACUCAGUGAAAUUGAACUCGCUGUGAAGAUGCAGUGUACCCGCGGCAAGACGGAAAGACCCCGUGAACCUUUACUAUAGCUUGACACUGAACAUUGAGCAUUGAUGUGUAGGAUAGGUGGGAGGCUUUGAAGUGUGGACGCCAGUCUGCAUGGAGCCGACCUUGAAAUACCACCCUUUAAUGUUUGAUGUUCUAACGUUGACCCGUAAUCC
rnacentral:rRNA from 1 species